UCGGGAAUAUUGCGCAAUGGAGGAAACUCUGACGCAGUGACGCCGCGUGCAGGAAGAAGGUUUUCGGAUUGUAAACUGCUUUAGACAGGGAAGAACAAAGACAGUACCUGUAGAAUAAGCUCCGGCUAACUACGUGCCAGCAGCCGCGGUAAUACGUAGGGAGCAAGCGUUAUCCGGAUUUAUUGGGUGUAAAGGGUGCGUAGACGGUAAUGCAAGUUAGUUGUGAAAUCCCUCGGCUUAACUGAGGAACUGCAACUAAAACUACAUUUCUUGAGUAUUGGAGGGGAAAGUGGAAUUCCUAGUGUAGCGGUGAAAUGCGUAGAUAUUAGGAGGAACACCGGUGGCGAAGGCGACUUUCUGGACAAUUACUGACGUUGAGGCACGAAAGUGUGGGGAGCAAACAGG
rnacentral:rRNA from 1 species